GGAAUUGACUGUAUAUGACAGAAGACUGUGGAGAUUCUUAUGAACUUGCCAUUUCUAUAAAUAACAGGCUGCUUUUAUAGAACAGACUUGCAUUAUGCAGCAACUUCCACAAUUGCAGAUUUUUCAAAGUGUUUUACCGCCAACAAAAUAUUUCUGAGUAUAGUCACUUUGUAAUGUAGGAAACAUUUCAGAAUCUCCAUCUUAAUCAGCACUUGCUUUAAAUCCUGAAAUUGCUAUCAAAUGAAAGAGACAAUGAUGCUGAAUGCUGACAGUAUGCCAUCAGAAACCCUGCACGUUCUGGGCCAAUGAUGUUUGAUUCAGAAAGCCUUACAUCCAGCAAACCUAAAUUCAGUUUUUUCUAACAGGUGACUAAGGUUGGUGAAUAAUACAGUAUAGUGAAAAGCUUCAAUAUUUGCCACAAUCUCACGCCAUUUUGAAUAGUUUAAAAAACAAGAUGUAACUGAAAGAGAGUCCCCUUUGUUCCAUCAUCUCCACCAUGAGUCCUGAGUCUGCUCACCAUCGCUGCCUGCGCUGCACCCCCUCCUCCACUGCCUCGCCCCAACCGACGCUGGAUCCAAAAACAAAGUGGCCACACAUUCAGGCUGCUGAUCCCACCUCGCCGACAUCACCUUCACUGGUGUAGCAGCUGCCCAUACUGAUGCCGCGUCCUGUGGUGGGCCUACAGCCUCCCUCUCACUGAUAAAAGGUAAGACAAAAAGCAAAAGAAGAAAAAGAAAAGAAAAAGCCGACUGUAAAAGGAGCAGAUGGCCUCCGGCUCAGGAACCCAAACUCUGCAUACUCAGGUUCCUUGAUUCCCGGGAUAUGACUACCGGUGUCCUAAAAGGAUGUGUGUCAGGCCUCAACUAUUCACCUAAUCAAUUAAUAGCAU